GUAAAGCAUUACGCUCGACAAGUCUAUAGCAUAUAUCAAUCCAAAAGGAGGCAGUUAUUAUAGACAUAUAUUUCACACAGUUCCAAACUAAGUGCCAUCAACAGUUUGAAGCAGAACGGAGCAACAACUUUUGAACAGAUUCAAACUUUAUCAUGGUUAACAGAAUUUAGAAACAUAGUUGGGAAACAACCAUCAGCCCAGACUCUGAAAUGUGAAUCAUUUCUUGAGAUGAGGGAAACAUGCAUAGACAUCAGAUUUGGGAUGCUUCGCCUCAGCAUGUUCUCUGCACUUGACUUCAGAAGUGGUGCAAAUGAAUGUCUGCAUG
rnacentral:misc_RNA from 1 species